AUUGAACGCUGGCGGAAUGCUUUACACAUGCAAGUCGAACGGCAGCACGGACUUCGGUCUGGUGGCGAGUGGCGAACGGGUGAGUAAUGUAUCGGAACGUGCCCAGUCGUGGGGGAUAACGUAGUGAAAAUUACGCUAAUACCGCAUACGAUCUAUGGAUGAAAGCGGGGGAUCGCAAGACCUCGCGCGAUUGGAGCGGCCGAUAUCAGAUGAGGUAGUUGGUGGGGUAAAGGCCCACCAAGCCAACGAUCUGUAGCUGGUCUGAGAGGACGAGCAGCCACACUGGAACUGAGACACGGUCCAGACUCCUACGGGAGGCAGCAGUGGGGAAUUUUGGACAAUGGGCGAAAGCCUGAUCCAGCCAUUCCGCGUGCAGGAUGAAGGCCCUCGGGUUGUAAUCUGCUUUUGUACAGAACGAAAAGGUUUCUACUAAUACCAGGAGCUCAUGACGGUACUGUAAGAAUAAGCACCGGCUAACUACGUGCCAGCCGCCGCAGUAA
rnacentral:rRNA from 1 species